GCAUAACGCGAAGAACCUUACCUGGGCUUGACAUGCAUCUCUAAGCACGUGAAAGCGUGUGACCCUUCGGGGAAUUUGCACAGGUGCUGCAUGGCCGUCGUCAGCUCGUGUCGUGAGAUGUUGGGUUAAGUCCCGCAACGAGCGCAACCCUUGUGACUAGUUGCCAGCACGUUAUGGUGGGAACUCUAGUCAGACUGCCCAGAUCAACUGGGAGGAAGGUGGGGACGACGUCAGGUCAGUAUGGCCCUUACGCCUAGGGCUGCACACGUACUACAAUGCCCAGCACAAUGAGAACCGAGACCGCGAGGUGGAGGAAAUCUAAAAAACUGGGCCCAGUUCGGAUUGGAGGCUGCAACUCGCCUCCAUGAAGUUGGAAUCGCUAGUAAUCGCAGAUCAGCAUGCUGCGGUGAAUACGUUCCCGGGUCUUGUACACACCG
rnacentral:rRNA from 1 species